CCGCCUCACGAAUGCAGGCGUUAGAGCGGCUGGUUCGCGCGGGAAGCGUCCUGACGAGAAACUGCGUUCAGGUUGAGCACGGACAACUCCGUUCCCCUGGGAUGGGGGGUUCAUCGCACGGCAAAGCAGGGCUGCAUUGCAGAUGGCGGCCAGAGAAGUGUCACGUGACAAGGAGCAGUAAGACCAAAGGCACAGAUGAACCAGAAGACUCUCAAUCCCUGACACACAUAUGGAGUUGAAUCACUGUGUGUAUGUGCAAGCAUGGCAGAAAAACAACUCGGGCCUCUUUUCCAUUAUCCGCGCACUGUUGACACAGUACCUCGAGCAA